AAAACAUUCAAUGUGUAGUGCCUGAAAGCUUGUUCUUGGUUGGAAAUGUAAAGAGCUAAAAUAUUUUCCAACAAGUAAUUGGAAAAUGCAGGUUCAAAAUCAUCAAAAUAUAAAGUACAAUGGAACAGUACAAGGCUCGAAGUAUAUAUGGAGAACUGAAGGUUUUCGUGGCCUAUUUAAUGGCAAUGGUACCAAUUGUGCAUGGCAUAGUGCCAAACUCGGCAGUCAAGUUUUUUUUAGCUAUGAGCAAUCAUCUAGGUUUGGUUUCUCUGCAUUGAAUCAUUUUCUUACAUUGUUUGAAGGCUGAUGCCAAUAUCUCUUUAAUUUUAUUUGUGCUGAUUGAUGUGUAUGAAUUUAUAACAUUUUGUCAUGAUUGAUGUCAAGUUCUUUAGACAUCUAUGUUCGAUGCCUAUGAUCCUUUUUUUAGUAAAUGGCAUAAAAGUCCCCUCAUUGUGCAUACCAAAACAUUUACUUGGAAUGUUAUUGUAAGAGUGCAUGACAUAAUCAUCAAACAUGCCAUCCUUUUGGCUUUUUAUAUUGUUGCUAAAGAUUAAUUUAUUAGAAUGCCUAUUAAGUAGCUCACAAGUUAAAAUAGAAAAAAAGAAAGA